GAUGAACGCUGGCGGCGUGCCUAACACAUGCAAGUCGAGCGGAGAGAUUGAAGUAGUAAUACGGAAAUUUCUUAGCGGCGGACGGGUGAGUAACACGUGAGUAAUCUGCCUUCUGCAGGGGAAUAACAUUGUGAAAACAGUGCUAAUACCGCAUGACAUAGUUUAGGGGCAUCCCUGAACUAUCAAAGGAGAAAUCCGGCAGAAGAUGAACUCGCGUCCGAUUAGCUAGUUGGCGGGUAAAGGCCCACCAAGGCGACGAUCGGUAGCCGAACUGAGAGGUUGAUCGGCCACAUUGGGACUGAGACACGGCCCAGACUCCUACGGGAGGCAG
rnacentral:rRNA from 1 species